AUUGAACGCUGGCGGCAUGCCUUACACAUGCAAGUCGAACGGUAACAGGCCGCAAGGUGCUGACGAGUGGCGAACGGGUGAGUAACACAUCGGAACGUGCCUGAUAGUGGGGGAUAACUACUCGAAAGAGUAGCUAAUACCGCAUAAGAUCUCAGGAUGAAAGCAGGGGACCGCAAGGCCUUGCGCUAACAGAGCGGCCGAUGGCAGAUUAGGUAGUUGGUGGGAUAAAAGCUUACCAAGCCGACGAUCUGUAGCUGGUCUGAGAGGACGACCAGCCACACUGGGACUGAGACACGGCCCAGACUCCUACGGGAGGCAGCAGUGGGGAAUUUUGGACAAUGGGCGCAAGCCUGAUCCAGCAAUGCCGCGUGCAGGAUGAAGGCCUUCGGUUGUAAACUGCUUUGUACGGACGAAACGAAACGUCUCGUAGUUAACUACGGUCCGGACCUAGUACGGUACCGG
rnacentral:rRNA from 1 species